rnacentral:rRNA from 1 species
UGGGGAAUAUUGGACAAUGGGCGAAAGCCUGAUCCGGCAAUGCCGCGUGGGUGAAGAAGGUCUUCGGAUUGUAAAGCCCUUUCGGCGGGGACGAUGAUGACGGUACCCGCAGAAGAAGCCCCGGCUAACUUCGUGCCAGCAGCCGCGGUAAUACGAAGGGGGCUAGCGUUGCUCGGAAUGACUGGGCGUAAAGGGCGCGUAGGCGGCGCACUUAGUCGGGCGUGAAAGUCCUGGGCUCAACCUGGGGACGGCGCUCGAUACGGGUGUGCUUGAGUGUGGAAGAGGGUUGUGGAAUUCCCAGUGUAGAGGUGAAAUUCGUAGAUAUUGGGAAGAACACCGGUGGCGAAGGCAGCAACCUGGUCCGUUACUGACGCUGAGGCGCGAAAGCGUGGGGAGCAAACA